GACGAACGCUGGCGGCGUGCUUAACACAUGCAAGUCGAACGGAAAGGCCCUGCUUGCCGGGUACUCGAGUGGCGAACGGGUGAGUAACACGUGGGUGAUCUGCCCUGCACUUCGGGAUAAGCUUGGGAAACUGGGUCUAAUACCGGAUAGGACCGCACUUUAGUGUGUGUGGUGGAAAGUUUUUUCGGUGUAGGAUGAGCUCGCGGCCUAUCAGCUUGUUGGUGGGGUAAUGGCCUACCAAGGCGGCGACGGGUAGCCGGCCUGAGAGGGUGUACGGCCACAUUGGGACUGAGAUACGGCCCAGACUCCUACGGGAGGCAGCAGGGGGGAAUAUUGCACAAUGGGCGCAAGCCUGAUGCAGCGACGCCGCGUGGGGGAGGAAGGCCUUCGGGUUGUAAACUCCUUUCGCUAGGGACGAAGCUUUUUGUGACGGUACCUAGAGAAGAAGCACCGGCUAACUACGUG
rnacentral:rRNA from 1 species